rnacentral:rRNA from 1 species
UAGGGAAUCUUCGGCAAUGGACGAAAGUCUGAUAGAGCAACACCGCGUGAGUGAAGAAGGUUUUCGGAUCGUAAAACCCUGUUGGUAGAGAAGAACGUUGGUGAGAGUGGAAAGCUCAUCAAGUGACGGUAACUACCCAGAAAGGGACGGCUAACUACGUGUCAG